rnacentral:rRNA from 1 species
UACGUAGGGUGCAAGCGUUGUCCGGAAUUAUUGGGCGUAAAGAGCUCGUAGGCGGUCUGUCGCGUCUGCUGUGAAAACUCAGGGCUUAACCCUGAGCUUGCAGUGGGUACGGGCAGACUAGAGUGCGGUAGGGGAGACUGGAAUUCCUGGUGUAGCGGUGAAAUGCGCAGAUAUCAGGAGGAACACCGGUGGGCGAAGGCGGGGUCUCUGGGCCGUAACUGACGCUGGAGGAGCGGAAAGCAUGGGGAGCGAACAGG